CAGUAGCCACGGUAAAACGUAGGGUGCAAGCGUUAAUCGGAAUUACUGGGCGUAAAGCGUGCGCAGGCGGUUAUAUAAGACAGAUGUGAAAUCCCCGGGCUCAACCUGGGAACUGCAUUUGUGACUGUAUAGCUAGAGUACGGCAGAGGGGGAUGGAAUUCCGCGUGUAGCAGUGAAAUGCGUAGAUAUGCGGAGGAACACCGAUGGCGAAGGCAAUCCCCUGGGCCUGUACUGACGCUCAUGCACGAAAGCGUGGGGAGCAAACAGGAUUAGAUACCCCGGUAGUCCCUGUCUCUUAUAC
rnacentral:rRNA from 1 species